rnacentral:misc_RNA from 1 species
UCCUCUCUCAAACCCCGGGUUUGGUGUUGGACCGCUGUCGGGGGGUCAUCCCCCGACUGGUCCCAAAGACAAUGACGGCGUCCGUGGGACCCCUCUGCGCAACGAGCUUUCACGAGCACGCGCGAAAAGGACCCCGCGGGCCGGUCUCCCCUUUUAUCUAUUUCUAAA